GUUCGAAACAACUGUAGUCGUUUAAACAUUGCCCUGAAGUUACAGGAAAUAAGUCACUAUGAUCACUAUUAUUCACAUCGUUUUUCUCAUCAUGCUGAUGGAUUUUUCCACUUCUGCUGUGACCAUGGAGUCGGCAGCGUUAAGCGCUGUGCCUCCAAGCGUGUCUAUAGCUCCGAUUAGAGACAAGCAGACCAUGCGAUCUAUCAACAUAAAUCCAUUCCUAACAAAUUCGUUGCUGCAAGCGUUGGCUGACGAAUCUGAACAUAAGAGACGGUUUCAAAGAUACAGGGAGGUUUCUGUUUAAUAAAUAAGUUAACAAAG